UCUAAUUCCCUUAAUGAUCCAAUUGGGGUGAUGGGGCUUUGUUAGAACCUAAAAUCACAUUAGCAUCAGCAAUAGGUCAAUUCACAUACUAUAAACCCUAAAAGUUAUCUCUUAACUAGGUUUCAAUUGCCACAUUAAAUGGCUAUCUAUAUUCACUAUCUUAAUCACUAUAAAAUGAAUGAACAUCCUCAACAAUAAAACAACUCAUAAUCUCAAUUACUAGCCAUUAUCCACAGCUAAAAAGCAAGCUUACUUCAUCACUCACCCUAGGGUUUCUUUGUAGUUGAAUUCUCUUCCAAUAGCUUCCAAACAAAUGGGAUAAUUCUCUCUUUCUCUCUCUAAAAUGCCCAACUAGUGAGAGAAAGUAUGAAAAUAAGAUUUUUCAAGGGUUUUAAGGAGAGAGAGUGGAAGAGCACAAGGGGUCUAUAAGAAGGGUGCACCAAAAGCAUGAAUUUUUGAGCUAUUUAGAGAAGAUUGUGGAGCUUUUUUGUCAAGCUUUCAUGGAGGUGGAGAAGCAACAUGAAAUGAAAGAAGAAAAAGAAGGAAAG
rnacentral:lncRNA from 1 species